CCUUGUUCAUCGUUUCCUCCGCCUCCCCGAUCGAGUUCUCGGUUGGGUGGGUUGUGGACCGGUGUGCUUGGAUGCUGCCACUCGUACGCAAUGGGCAUGUGAGUGGUGCUUUGGUUGUGUGUGUCGGCAGGCUCCGUGCUAGAUGCAUCGAACUGUCGACCCGCACUCCUCUUCAAUCUCUCCCCGUGCGGUCGCCGUGCCCCCGGGGUGAAAUCGGGAUCCUGUGCUGCGUACCCAAAUCGAUGGAAAUUGGAUGUCUCGCCGUCCCUCAUCCGUCCCGUGCCCUUAGGGGCGACGUGGCGGACCUCGGUCAUGCCCCGUGUUCCGAGCGUGCCCCCGAUCUCGGUGAGGCCGUUCCGGUGCACCGGUGCUCGAUCGUGCUUUCGGAUGCGGAAAGUUUUGUGGGCGUGGGGUCUAGGCCUUGUUCGUCCGAUGCUAUGCAUUUCGUCCCUCGACACGUACGACGCUCGUGCCCUGUCUCGGCCUCUCUGCUGCUCAGGCGGCGUGCUGAGGAC
rnacentral:misc_RNA from 1 species